UGGGGAAUAUUGCACAAUGGGGGAAACCCUGAUGCAGCGACGCCGCGUGAAGGAAGAAGUAUCUCGGUAUGUAAACUUCUAUCAGCAGGGAAGAUAGUGACGGUACCUGACUAAGAAGCCCCGGCUAACUACGUGCCAGCAGCCGCGGUAAUACGUAGGGGGCAAGCGUUAUCCGGAUUUAUUGGGCGUAAAGGGCUCGUAGGCGGUUCGUCGCGUCCGGUGUGAAAGUCCAUCGCUUAACGGUGGAUCUGCGCCGGGUACGGGCGGGCUGGAGUGCGGUAGGGGAGACUGGAAUUCCCGGUGUAACGGUGGAAUGUGUAGAUAUCGGGAAGAACACCAAUGGCGAAGGCAGGUCUCUGGGCCGUUACUGACGCUGAGGAGCGAAAGCGUGGGGAGCGAACAGGAUUAGAUACCCUGGUAGUCCACGCCGUAAACGGUGGAUGCUGGAUGUGGGGCCCGUUCCACGGGUUCCGUGUCGGAGCUAACGCGUUAAGCAUCCCGCCUGGGGAGUACGGCCGCAAGGCUAAAACUCAAAGAAAUUGACGGGGGCCCGCACAAGCGGCGGAGCAUGCGGAUUAAUUCGAUGCAACGCGAAGAACCUUACCUGGGCUUGACAUGUUCCCGACAGCCGUAGAGAUAUGGCCUCCCUUCGGGGCGGGUUCACAGGUGGUGCAUGGUCGUCGUCAGCUCGUGUCGUGAGAUGUUGGGUUAAGUCCCGCAACGAGCGCAACCCUCGCCCUGUGUUGCCAGCACGUCAUGGUGGGAACUCACGGGGGACCGCCGGGGUCAACUCGGAGGAAGGUGGGGAUGACGUCAGAUCAUCAUGCCCCUUACGUCCAGGGCUUCACGCAUGCUACAAUGGCCGGUACAACGGGAUGCGACACGGCGACGUGGAGCGGAUCCCUGAAAACCGGUCUCAGUUCGGAUUGGAGUCUGCAACCCGACUCCAUGAAGGCGGAGUCGCUAGUAAUCGCGGAUCAGCAACGCCGCGGUGAAUGCGUUCCC
rnacentral:rRNA from 1 species